GCCUCGUGGCAUGCAUUCUAGAAUGCGCUACAAAAAAGGUACAGUGUGGACAUAGCUUUAUUUUUUUUUUUUAAACAAGAAGUAGUUCUUCUAUAUUCAAAAUUCUUAAUAACCAAAAUGGUGAACCAAAUCACAAUCAACGCUCAGUAUAUACUUAACUUUCCUAUUGAAAACACAAAAAUAUAAGAAAAAAAACGUAUAUUAGUUUGAUAAUCUUUUAAAAAUAUAUAUCCUAAGGAAAAUACGCAGCGUUUGCUGAAAAUAAGUUCAUCUGUGCUAGCGAAGGCUAUUCGUUCAUUUCCCUGCGAAAAUGUGUUGCGGAGGUUGCUGUGGCUGCGGCUGUCCCAAGAUCACUAUCUACACAUGCUGCACAAAGAUCUGCUAGGGAAACAUCGGGAUGAAGAACCGACUUACCUUUCGGCGACGACGCCGCCUACCUAGUAGUUUUUGUGAAGCUAUUUUGAAUGUGCCGUUUCUCUAGUGCUGUAAUAAAGUGAUUUAGAAAUGUGA